UCUGGUUAUAAUAGCAGAGAGGAUACACCUGUUCCCAUUCCGAACACAGAAGUUAAGC
rnacentral:rRNA from 1 species